rnacentral:rRNA from 1 species
AUUGAACGCUGGCGGCAGGCCUAACACAUGCAAGUCGAACGCCACCUUCGGGUGGAGUGGCAGACGGGUGAGUAACGCGUGGGAACAUACCUUUUGGUUCGGAAUAUUCCCGGGAAACUGGGAGCAAUACCGGAUAAGCCCUUCGGGGGAAAGAUUUAUCGCCAAAAGAUUGGCCCGCGUUAGAUUAGGUAGUUGGUAGGGUAAAGGCCUACCAAGCCUACGAUCUAUAGCUGGUCUGAGAGGAUGAUCAGCCACAGUGGGACUGAGACACGGCCCAAAAUCCUACGGGGGGAAGGAGUGGGGAAUCUUAGACAAAGGGGGAAACCCUGAUCUAGCCAUGCCGCGUGAUCGAUGAAGGCCUUAGGGUUGUAAAGAUCUUUCAGGUGGGAAGAUAAUGACUGUACCACCAGAAGAAGCCCCGGCUAACUCCGUGCCAGCCGCCGCCGUAA